UACGUAGGGAGCAAGCGUUGUCCGGAAUCAUUGGGCGUAAAGCGCGCGUAGGUGGCUUCGUAAGUCCGUUGUGAAAGUCAAAGGCUCAACCUUUGAAUGCCGAUGGAUACUGCGGAGCUAGAGUACGGAAGAGGCGAGUGGAAUUCCUGGUGUAGCGGUGGAAUGCGCAGAUAUCAGGAGGAACACCAAUAGCGAAGGCAGCUCGCUGGGACGUUACUGACACUAAGGCGCGAAGGCGUGGGGAGCGAACAGG
rnacentral:rRNA from 1 species